rnacentral:rRNA from 1 species
GCCAUUCCGCGUGCAGGAUGAAGGCCUUCGGGUUGUAAACUGCUUUUGUACGGAACGAAACGGUGAGCUCUAAUACAGUUUGCUAAUGACGGUACCGUAAGAAUAAGCACCGGCUAACUACGUGCCAGCAGCCGCGGUAAUACGUAGGGUGCAAGCGUUAAUCGGAAUUACUGGGCGUAAAGCGUGCGCAGGCGGUGAUGUAAGACAGUUGUGAAAUCCCCGGGCUCAACCUGGGAACUGCAUCUGUGACUGCAUCGCUAGAGUACGGCAGAGGGGGAUGGAAUUCCGCGUGUAGCAGUGAAAUGCGUAGAUAUGCGGAGGAACACCGAUGGCGAAGGCAAUCCCCUGGGCCUGUACUGACGCUCAUGCACGAAAGCGUGGGGAGCAAACAGGAUUAGAUACCCUGGUAGUCCACGCCCUAAACGAUGUCAACUGGUUGUUGGGUCUUCACUGACUCAGUAACGAAGCUAACGC